UUACAAAGAAGAACAAGAUGCUGGGGUAUUUACCGAAGGAGAUAUAACAACUGGUCUGAACAAGUCAGUUCUGGCAUUCAUCCUUCAUCCCACCAGCAACAAGAUGGAGAUCCGGCAACAGAUGGCACUCACAUGAGCACCCGAGUGAGAUAUGCUCCCUAUGCCAUUCCACCGUGUCGUCGGAGAGGCAAUUUUCAGAAGCAAGACCAAACCCAAGCUAACAUGAAGGGAGAGCAAAAGCCUCCAGAGAGAAGAAUGGAGCGGGAGAGGCAGGAUGAGACCGUGGGGAAAUGGUUCAAGAUCAUUAUUCCAUUUGGCAUCAAAUAUGAUGAGAAGUGGCUGCUGGAUCUGAUUCAGGGACAAUGCAGUGUCCCCUUCACCCCAGUCGAGUUUCACUAUGAGAGAAUGCAGGCCCAGUUCUUUGUUGAGAAUGCCAACGUUGCCUUUGCAUUGAAGAGUGUCAACGGCAAGAUCUGGGAUGAGGCUAACGAAAGGAUCUCUAUCUUUAUCUACCCCUCUGAUGCACCCCACUCUGUGCACAAGGAGCUGAAGUCAGAAAAGGUGGAGCAGACAAAGGUAAUGCAGAUUCAAGAGUAGCUGUGCAUCCUCUCCCAGCAAUCUCUUAACAUCCAGAGGGUCCUCUUUGCCCCUGACUUGAUCACCCAUGAUAUUGAAAUGGUACCAAAUCCUAGAAACAGCAUGGCUGCCUCCCUGCAGACCCAUGAAAAGAACAUGCCCAAGGUGAAGUCUGCAGGGGAGAUGGACGAGGGCAAAAGUCUGCAGCCAGAAGAGAUGAGUACCGAUAGAAGUGCCCUGUGCACUGCCCUCCCUGAUAAAUCAACCAACAUAAGCUCCAUCCUGGAAUUGUUUCCCAAGUUACUACGCCUGGACAGCCAGGAGUCACCUUCACCAACCAGCCUCGGUAUUGCAGCCCACAAGAGGUUACCGACCUGCAAGGGAAGCUUCUUUGGAUCUGAUGCACUGAAGAGUCUAGUCCUGCAAUUCCUGCAGCAGUACUACUCGAUCUACGACUCUGGAGACCGUCAGGGUCUCCUCGGUGCCUACCACGAUGAGGCCUGCUUCUCCCUGGCCAUUCCCUUCAACCCUGAGGAGUCAGCCCCAAGCAGCCUGUGCAAAUACUUCAAGGAAAGCAGGAAUAUGAAGAAGCUCAAGGACCCCUCCCUGCGUGUUCAGCUGCUGAAGCAUACAAAAUGUGACAUCAUGCGCUCCCUCUGUGUGCUGCCCAAAACUCAGCAUGACCUCAGCUCCUUCAUGGUGGACAUGUGGUUCCAGACGGAGACGAUGCUCUGCUUCUCUGUCAACGGGGUGUUCAAGGAAGUGGAAGGCAUGUCUCAGGAUUCUGUUCGUGCCUUCACCCGGACAUUCAUCGCUACCCCUGUCAGCAGUUACAGUCUAUGCAUCGUGAAUGAUGAUCUGUUUGUGAAGGACGCCAGCCCCAAGGAGACCCAGAGCACAUUCUCUAUCCCAGUGCCCACACCCUCCUGCAGCUCCUGGCCCACCCUUUGCCAGAAGCAGCAGGAAAUGGGGCAGACUUUCUCCACCCAGUCUGGGAUGAAUUUCCAGUGGUCUCAGAAGUGA